CCAAAGGCUCUUUUAAGAGCCACUACAUACGCUAUUGAAGGAGCUGU
rfam:Acanthisitta chloris contig116434, whole genome shotgun sequence.